rnacentral:rRNA from 1 species
GAUGAACGCUAGCGGCAGGCCUAAUACAUGCAAGUCGAACGGAUAUAUGUUUUUCGGAAUAUAUAUUAGUGGCGCACGGGUGAGUAACACGUACAUAACUUGCCCUCAAGCGGGGGAUAGCCUUGGGAAACUGAGAGUAAUACCCCAUAGAAUUAUUGGACGGCAUCGUUUGAUAAUUAAAACUACGGUGUUUGGGGAUAGAUGUGCGUCUGAUUAGCUAGUUGGUGAGGUAACUGCUCACCAAGGCGACGAUCAGUAGGGGGCGUGAGAGCGUGGCCCCCCACACGGGUACUGAGACACGGACCCGACUCCUACGGGAGGCAGCAGUAAGGAAUAUUGGUCAAUGGAGGGAACUCUGAACCAGCCAUGCCGCGUGAAGGAUGACGGCCCUCUGGGUUGUAAACUUCUUUUGGAUGGGGCGAAAAAACGGGAUUUAUCCUGGACUGACGGUACCAUCAGAAUAAGCACCGGCUAACUCCGUGCCAGCGCCGCGGUAAAGUGUGACUGU